AAUAAAGCAGAUGUUGAGUUUCUCUAAUAAAUUACACCUGGACUCUGAAAACACGGAUAUAAAGGUUUAAUAAAAACACAAGAUAUGUAUUAAGUUUUAUUGUUAAAGGAGCAAUGAAGAAAUAUUGUAGUAAAGAAAUAUAUGGUUUGAUUUGAAAGGUUAAGUUUUAAUGUAGGUGUUAAAACUGCAGCUGCAGUAGCGUCAAGGUCCAGUUCUCCCAGUGCAGUAGUCCAAUCAGCCACUAGAGGGCGCAGGACGACUCUCGCUCCUCACGUUUCUUCUUCAGCUGAUUUUCUUUCUUGGGUUGAUAAACAGGAAGUGUGAGGAUGGCAUCUUCACCUUCAUCGUCCUCCUCUUCCUCAGCUGCAGCAUCAGUGAUCCUAGUGGUCCAGUUCAUCUCCUGCUGAUGAUUCCAGUUCUUCUGGGUUUCUGCUGCUCAGCUUCAUUGACAGCUUCAGCUUUUCUGACUGGACUAACAGAUGAUUGAUUGGAAACAGAGAUGGUGGAGCAGAUCCUGCAGGGGGCGCUCUGGGGCCUCAGUGUUCAGGCCAAUCAAACUGCAGCUCGUUCUACAAAGGAGCUGUGUUUGGGGCGGGCCUCCUCUUUAGCACAAUCCAAGAUGGCCGCUGCAGAGGACACACCCGCAAGCCCCUGCGUGUACGUGGAGGUGGGCAGCGGCUCCGGACCGGUUCGUGGUUUUCUGUGGUCGGACCUUCAGCUCUACCUAUUGUUUGUCUGAUGAUGUUUGCUGUCAGGUUGGAUGAUCAGCUCAGCCUGCUGUAACCGGGUCGCCCCGUCAUCACAGACCUGCUAACAAGAAAUUUGAGAGGCUUUGUGGAUGUCAUCACUCCAUCAGAAGAGCCGUUUGCAUCAAUGUUGAGGUUGCUGAAAGUUUCUUCUCUGUGGUUGCUGCUCUCCAGAAGAGGCCACUUUGUCAAGAACAAGGCAGGAGAUCAUGGGCUGGAAGAAGAGACUGUUUCCAUAGAAACCAGCAGAGGUAAGAGCUCAUAAUUGACUUUACUGUUUUUAUUGUUUGUCUUUAUCUCAGACAGGCUCACUUCUCCUUCCAACAAGUUGCAGAGCAGAAUAUAUUGUGAAAGACAGAUUAACUUCUCUCUCCAGCCAGUGCAGCUUCCUGAUGGCAUCACCUCUUCAUGUUGUUUCAUUAAAGACAAAUCAAAGUGU